GACGUAGGGCGCGAGCGUUGUCCGGAUUUAUUGGGCGUAAAGAGCUCGUAGGCGGCUUGUCGCGUCGACUGUGAAAACCCGCGGCUCAACUGCGGGCUUGCAGUCGAUACGGGCAGGCUAGAGUUCGGUAGGGGAGACUGGAAUUCCUGGUGUAGCGGUGAAAUGCGCAGAUAUCAGGAGGAACACCGGUGGCGAAGGCGGGUCUCUGGGCCGUAACUGGACGCU
rnacentral:rRNA from 1 species